rnacentral:rRNA from 1 species
CCUACGGGAGGCAGCAGUGGGGAAUAUUGCACAAUGGGGGAAACCCUGAUGCAGCGACGCCGCGUGAGUGAAGAAGUAAUUCGUUAUGUAAAGCUCUAUCAGCAGGGAAGAAAAUGACGGUACCUGAGUAAGAAGCCACGGCUAACUACGUGCCAGCAGCCGCGGUAAUACGUAGGGGGCAAGCGUUAUCCGGAUUUACUGGGUGUAAGGGGAGCGUAGACGGCAGUGCAAGUCUGGAGUGAAAGGCCGGGGCUCAACCCCCGGACUGCUCUGGAAACUGUACGGCUGGAGUGCAGGAGAGGUAAGUGGAAUGCCUAGUGUAGCGGUGAAAUGCGUAGAUAUUAGGCGGAACACCAGUGGCGAAGGCGGCUUACUGGACUGUAACUGACGUUGAGGCUCGAAAGCGUGGGGAGCAAACAGGAUUAGAUACCCCAGUAGUC